GAUGAACGCUGGCGGCGUGCCUAAUACAUGCAAGUCGAGCGAGCGGACGAGAAGCUUGCUUCUCUGAUGUUAGCGGCGGACGGGUGAGUAACACGUGGAUAACCUACCUAUAAGACUGGGAUAACUUCGGGAAACCGGAGCUAAUACCGGAUGAUAUUUUGAACCGCAUGGUUCAAAAGUGAAAGACGGUCUUGCUGUCACUUAUAGAUGGAUCCGCGCUGCAUUAGCUAGUUGGUAAGGUAACGGCUUAACAAGGCAACGAUGCAUAGCCGACCUGAGAGGGUGAUCGGCCACACUGGAACUGAGACACGGUCCAGACUCCUACGGGAGGCAGCAGUAGGGAAUCUUCCGCAAUGGGCGAAAGCCUGACGGAGCAACGCCGCGUGAGUGAUGAAGGUCUUCGGAUCGUAAAACUCUGUUAUUAGGGAAGAACAUAUGUGUAAGUAACUGUGCACAUCUUGACGGUACCUAAUCAGAAAGCCACGGCUAACUACGUG
rnacentral:rRNA from 1 species